ensembl:lncRNA
AUAGAAUCCCCUGGAAUAAGAAAGCCUCAUUUCUGAAUAUUUUUAGAAUGCUCACCCAGUUGCAAAGGGAUAAUGUUUAUUAAAUGAUCCCUUGAGGUAAGUGUAACCUGAUGUUUGUUCUUGGUGUUGUCUCUGGACGACAUUGGCAUUGAUGGGGAAGCAAUGACAUACGAACUCUAGUGCUAAUUGGCUUCCAUCAUGUCCAUUUCUUUGUGACCCCAUGGACUGUCUUCCACCAGGCUCUUCUGUCCCUGGGAUUCUCCAGGCAAGAAUACUGGAGUGGGUUGCUAUUUCCUUUUCCAGGGGAUCUUCCAGACUCAGGGAUCAAACCUGAGUCUCCUGCAUUGGCAGGCGGAUUCUUUACCACUGCGCCACCAGACGAACUCUGCUGCUGCUGCUGCUGCUAAGUCCCUUCAGUCGUGUCCGGCUCUGUGCGACCCCAUAGAUGCCAGCCCACCAGGCUCCCCCGUCCCUGGGAUUCUCCAGGCAAGAACACUGGAGUGGGUUGCCAUUUUCUUCUCCAAUGCAUGAAAGUGAGAGGUGAAAGUGAAGUUGCUCAGUCGUGUCUGACUCUUCGCAGCCCCGUGGACUGCAACCUACCAGGCUCCUCCACCCAUGGGAUCUUCCAGGCAAGAGGACUGGAGUGGGGUGCCAUUGCCUUCUCCUAGACGAACUCUAAUUGAUACCUGUUUGAAAUACUGGAGGCCAGCACUGUGAAAGCCUUUUGAGUGAAUCAUGGAAAGAUUCUAGACAACCCCUUUCUCAUGAGUAUUUCUUUCGAUUCUGUAAUGGAAAAAAGGAAACAGAUUUACUCCCAUGAGACAUCACCAUGGAGCAAAGGUGAUGAUGGUGGCUGGAAGUCCUCUUGCUGCUGCUGCUGCGGCUGCUAAGUUGCUUCAGUUGUGUCCUUCUCUGUGCGACCCCAUAGACGGCAGCCCACCAGGCUCCCCCGUCCCUGGGGUUCUCCAGAUUCAAUUUAAAGAAUGCCCUAAAGCAAAUGCAUGCCAUGUUGGAGGUUUGGCAGGAGCAGAAGUAGGAUCCUGGAGCGGGGGGUGACUGUGAUUGCGAAAGCUCCAGAGGGAAGAAAGCCUGAAAUAAACUGAGGCCCAGGGCCUUGGGAAAUGAGUGGUCAGCUCCAGGUAAGAUGCAAC